rnacentral:rRNA from 1 species
GACGAACUCUGGCGGCGUGCCUAAUACAUGCAAGUCGAGCGGACCGGAUUGGGGCUUGCCUUGAUUCGGUCAGCGGCGGACGGGUGAGUAACACGUGGGCAACCUGCCCGCAAGACCGGGAUAACUCCGGGAAACCGGAGCUAAUACCGGAUAACACCGAAGACCGCAUGGUCCUCGGUUGAAAGGCGGCCUUUGGGCUGUCACUUGCGGAUGGGCCCGCGGCGCAGUUAGCUAGUUGGUGAGGUAACGGCUCACCAAGGCGACGAUGCGUAGCAGGCCUGGGAGGGUGACCGGCCAGACGGGGACUGGGACACGGCCCAGACUCCUACGGGAGGCUGCAGUAGGGAAUCUUCCGCAAUGGGCGAAAGCCUGACGGAGCGACGCCGCGUGAGCGAAGAAGGCCUUCGGGUCGUAAAGCUCUGUUGUGAGGGACGAAGGAGCGCCGCUCGAAGAGGGCGGCGCGGUGACGGUACCUCACGAGAAAGCCCCGGCUAACUACGUGCCAGCCGCCGCCGUAA